rnacentral:rRNA from 1 species
GACGAGGGGUCCUAGCGUUGUUCGGAAUCACUGGGCGUAAAGCGUAUGUAGGCGGCUUUUCAAGUCAGGCGUGAAAUCCCAUGGCUUAACCAUGGAACUGCAUUUGAAACUGUAAAGCUUGAGUAUUGGAGAGGAUGGUAGAAUUCCUGGUGUAGUGGUGAAAUACGUAGAUAUCAGGAGGAAUACCGGUGGCGAAGGCGGCCAUCUGGCCAAAUACUGACGCUGAGAUACGAAAGUGUGGGGAUCAAACAGG